GGAGGGGUCGCAUAGUGGCCGAGUGCGGCGGUUUGCUAAACCGCUGUGGCGCGAAAGCGCUACCGGGGGUUCAAAUCCCCCUCCCUCCG
rnacentral:tRNA from 1 species